UACGUAGGUGGCGAGCGUUGUCCGGAUUUACUGGGCGUAAAGAGCGCGCAGGCGGCUGGUCAAGUCCGAUGUGAAAGCUCCCGGCUUAACUGGGAAAUUGCAUCGGAAACUGAUCGGCUGGAAGGUGGGAGAGGGUAGCGGAAUUCCCGGUGUAGUGGUGAAAUGCGUAGAUAUCGGGAGGAACACCAGUGGCGAAAGCGGCUACCUGGCCCAUUCUUGACGCUGAGGCG
rnacentral:rRNA from 1 species